AAUAUAAACCUAAAUUAUUAAUAGCUAAGUUCUUAAAAAUUAAUAAAGAUGGCGGUGUUUUAGUCUGUUCAGAGGAAUCUGUCCUGUAAUUGAUAUUCCACGAUUUAAAUUACUUGUUUUUUUAGUUUGUAUAUCGCUGUAGAUUGAAUAUUUCUAUUGAAUUAUAAUGUUCAUGAUUUUUAUAAAAAAAUAUAUCAAGUCAAGAUGUAGCUUAUAAAUAAGAAGAGGUGGAUUACAUUAAUAAUAUUAAUGGUUGAUAAUUUGAAAUGAUUGUUAUAAAAUGGAUUUGAAGGUAAUUUUUUAAAAAGAUUUUAAAGAUGAUUUUAGCUCUAGAAU
rnacentral:rRNA from 1 species